GAGCAAUUCAGACAGACAGCAAGGCAAUGAACACGCAGUGUCAGAAGCGUGAUGAUGAGAAGUGCAGACACCAGGGAAUUGCAAAGGAGGCUCCUCUGCCCAGACCUGGGGAGAAAAGACCUUUCUGGACCCAGUGAUAUCCAAGCUGAGACCAGGAGUUAGUCGGAGGGGAAGAGAGCUCCAGGCACAGGGAACAGCACAACAUACGCAAAGACUGCAGGAGCCGUAUAAAACUUGACUGCUUCCUUGGAACUGCAAGCAGUCAACAUGUCUGGAGUAUUGAGUUUGGAGAGGGUGUGUGGAAGAAUGAAGCCACAGAGCAGCAAGAGACAGGAGUCAGCUCCAGUAAAGCCUGGGAUGGACACAGCACAUCCUUUCCUGACGUUCCUGCUGCUUCCAAGCACCAGCCUUAAGAGCCCAGAGGAAACUGCUAAUGAAUUUCCCUAGAGUUACCCAGAACUAAUUCUGAGGGGUUUCCUGCCACCUCUCAGGUCCGGGACUGUUAAGGGGUACCAGCCAAGAUGUCCAACUCCUCACCAGCAUAUUCUGCCAGACCAGGGCACCCUGCUCUGAUCAUGCUGAGACAUGGGACCCAAGUCCAACACGUUUGGUCAAUGCAUGAUUUCAAAGAAUUGUAACAUCAGCAGCAGAGAAACUGGAGACCCAAAGAAUGGAUUCAAAUGCUUGUUGCCUGAAUCUGCUCUUCUCACAAGUCCCUCAAUAUUGUACCUGAAUAUAAUACCUUCUCCUGCAUCAAGAGAGGACAUUAGGUGGGUCCCAGCUGCCUCUUCAGGGAUUUAACAGGCUAACCAGGAGCUCUCACUUGUCUUUCUACCUGCAAACUACAGAAUGGGUGCAGAUCUUUCCAGGAAGCUUAUAAAAGCUCACAGGGUGAGGCGAAAGUUGGCUUAGUCUCAGAGAUUCAUUGUUGUUGGGAACGUAGAGCCCUGAGCGCUUUAAGUCCUGAAAAUCUUCUAGUUUCUGAUCUUUAGCUCAACUUUUAACUGUUUUCCUCCUGAUUUUUGUUUGGCUUUCUGAUUUGAUUCUCUGGUUUGACAUAUGUGUCUGUCUUAAUUAGGUUUUCCAGCAGGUCAUGGCCCUGUCCCGGGCCCAUGUAAACCAUCAAAGGCUUGCCUCAGUCAUCCCUAUACCAGCUUCUCACCUUGCCCAGUCUUAGGGCCUGGGAUCUAAGAGCCCUCUGGAAGAUCUACCCUUUUUCUACAUCUGAAAACUCACUAUUAGAGAGUUAAAGUCUUCGAAACAUUCCAUGUUUCCCAAGGGUCCACAUGGCAAUUUUGUGAUAUAUUUAUAGGUAGCAAGUGGAACAAAGGGGUUUGUAGCCAAAUAAAUUUGGAGAAUGUUAUGUGAGGUUAGUUUCUUGUCUACAACAAGGCUUAAUAUGCUUUGAACAGGUUAAACAUCCAUACAAUGAACUUAGUCAGCUCACAAUCCAGUACCCAAAACCCUUGGAACCAGAUAUAUUUGGAUUUCAGAAUAUUUCAGGUUUUAAUAAGGUAAAUGGUGAAUAUGCUAUUUAUUCCACUAUUUAUUCCAUUGCACCCAGAAGAGCUGGCAGGCCCUGUAAUCAAGCACAUACUUCUGCAGCAAAACAUAUGCAUCUUCAUACUAAGUAGGCUAAGUAAAAAAUCUGAAAAGCCACAACAUCAUUUUAGGUCAGGUUUUACCCCUAAGUCUUGUUUUGUUUUUUGAGACGGAGUCUUGCUCUGUUGCCCAGGCUGGAGUGCAGUGGUGUGAUCUCGGCUCACUGCAACCUUCACCUCCUGGGUUCAAGCGAUUCUCCUGUUUCAGCCCCCCUAGUGACUGGGAUUAUAGACACACACCACCACACUGGGCUAAUUUUUGUAUUUUUAGUAGACAUGGCAUUUCACUAUGUUGGCCAGGCUGGUCUCAAACUUCUGACCUCAAGUGAUCCAUCCACAUCGGCCUCCCAAAGUACUGGGAUUACAGGCAUGAGCCAUAGCACCCAGCCUGUUAUUUUUUAAAACUUAGUUUUUAGCACUUUUUGGACUUCAACCUGAUGGAUACAGGAUGGGGCCGUGUAGAUGGUGUUCCCAACAUAGAUGAUCUCAGAACUCCCUCUUCCAGGAGCAUCUAGCAGGACAGGUAUUUCAUGGACUCCAAGGAUACCCUCAGCUGUUAGUCUAUAACACAGGAGAGUGAACACAGUCGGUCAUUCUCACUUUAGCCUUAUCCUCUCCCACACCAACUAGAUGAGGUGAGGAUUCUGACAGCCAAACAAGGAGGAGAAGCUGGAGAGCCUGUGCAUGUGUGCAGAUGUGGUUGGGGAGUCAUGGUUCAGCUGUCAGCUUCUGGUGGAAAAGGGAUACCAAAAAGAGCGGCAUAGUGGACAUCCAGGUUAUGGUGGUUUUCUUCUGUGUACACUUCUGUGUUUUUCACAUUUCCUUUAGAAAUGACGAGCUUUUUCUCCCUUAUUGCUGUUUUCUACUGCAGGGAGUUGCUGCUCUUAGUGUUGCAGUGUGGGGAGGUAGGAUGGGGCUGACGCAGAGCCUGAGGGCAAGGCAGGGUUCCUGGGAAGAUGGAUUCCUGUGAUUCUGGCCUUGUGCCUCAGCCAGAGCUGAGGUGGGGUGGGGUGUAUGCCUAAGGCCAGGGUCCCCUGGGGAAGGAGGAGGAUGUUGGAUUUCUGGUGGAUUUCCAGGAAGACUUCCUGCUCUGACAAAAACAACACAAACACAGGAAGAGGCUCUGGGGCCUAAGGAGAGGGGAUAAUGGACCAAGGUGGAGACUUUUGGGGUGGAGGCUGAUACAGAGAGCAGCCCAGGAACAGAGAAGCUGCCUCCUCGCUGUCCAACUGUGUUCCCCAAGCCAGCUGAGAGUCUUUCUCUACUGUGGUGGCAAGUUGGGAACUGGAGGAAGAGGCCCAGUAACUUUGGACUCCCUGGCUUCUUCUCCACUUUUCAUUGAGUAUAAUAUUUCUUGGUGGCCUGGACCAUGAGGAUGGGGGUGGAGAGUAGGCAGUGGACUGCGGGGGGGCAUUUGGCUAAGGCCUCAGAUUAUGUAGGGCCUCAGAUACAGACCUUAAAUGUGUGGGGUCACACACCUGUCAGAGCUACAUUCAGCCUCACUGUGCGGGAUCAGGUGAAGACAUGCAUCCUAAACUUGCUACCAUUACCAGCCCUAUGGUGUGCUGUAAACUCAUUAUCUUCAUAUGGCUUGUGAAUUGCUCUGUUAUGUUGCAUUAUAUAUGUAUAUAUACACAUAUGUGUGUAUGGGACUCUGUGUGUGUGUUUGUUGUAAACCAAAAAUAAAAAUCUAAGGCUACCCCCACCAUCUGAAGAGACUCCCUCCUCUUGGCCAGGCCACUCCAAAGUUAACCUGAACAACUGUUUUCAGGCCAUGAGGGGAAGUGGGGGUUGGACCUGCCUCAUAAUGCCCUCCUGCCUUUUGGAAUUCAGGAAAAGCUGACCAGCAUUAACAACAACAUAGACCUUAAGUCUGAUAAAUAACCUUUACAAUCUAUUCUCUCCUGAAGCCUGCUAUCUGGAGGCUUCAUUUGCAUGAUAAAACUUUGGUCUCCAUAACCUCUUAUCAUAACCUAGAUAUUUCAUUCUAGUGAUAACUCUUUUAACCAUUGCCAAUGAGAAUUUUGUUUGUUUGUUUGAGAUGGAGUCUUGAGUGCAGGCUGGAAUGCAGUGGUGCAAUCUUGGCUCACUGCAACCUCCGCCUCCCAGCUUCAAAUGAUUCUCCUGCCUCAGCCUCCUGAGUAGCUAGGAUUACAGGUGCCUGCCACUACGCCCGGCUAAUUUUUGUAUUUUUUAGUAGAGACAGGGUUUUGCCAUGUUGGCCAGGCUGGUCUCAAACUCCUGACCUCAGAUGAUCUGCCCACCUCAGCCUACCGAAGUGCUGGGAUUACAGGCAUGAGCCACUGCACCCGGCCUAGAAAAUUUUUUAAUCUACCUAUAAUCUUGAAGGCUCUGUACCCCAUUCCCCAUUUUGAGUUGUCCCCCCUUUCUGGAUCUAACCAAUGUACAUCUUAAAUGUGUUGACUGAUGUCUCAUGCCUCCCUAAAAUGUAUAAAACCAAGCUGUGCCCCUACCACCUUGGGCACAUGUUCUCAGGGUCUCCUGAGGGCUGUAUCACAAGCUAUGGUCACCCAUAUUUGGCUCAGAA
rnacentral:lncRNA from 1 species